rnacentral:rRNA from 1 species
UACGUAGGAGGCAAACGUUGUCCGGAUUUACUGGGUGUAAAGGGUGCUCAGGCGGUCUUGAUAGUCAGAGGUGAAAUCUUCCGGCUCAACCGGAAAAUUGCCUUUGAUACUACAAGGCUAGAGUGCAGAAGAGGCGGAUGGAAUUUCUGGUGUAGCAGUGAAAUGCGUAGAUAUCAGAAAGAACACCAGUGGCGAAGGCGGUCCGCUGGUCUGUCACUGACGCUAAAGCACGAAAGCGUGGGGAG